CUGCGGAAGGAUCAUUACCGAAUUGUCAAACGGGUUGUUGCUGGUCCUUGAAAGGGGACAUGUGCACGCUCUGUUUACACAUCCACUCACACCUGUGCACCCUCCGUAGUUCUAUGGUCUGGGAGACCUUGUCUUCCUGCCGUGGUCCUACGUCUUUACACACACACUGUAACAAAGUCUUAAGGAAUGUAUGCAGCGUCUAACGCAAUACAAUACAACUUUCAGCAACGGAUCUCUUGGCUCUCGCAUCGAUGAAGAACGCAGCGAAAUGCGAUAAGUAAUGUGAAUUGCAGAAUUCAGUGAAUCAUCGAAUCUUUGAACGCACCUUGCGCCCCUUGGCUAUUCCGAGGGGCAUGCCUGUUUGAGUAUCAUGAACACCUCAACUCUCAUGGUUCGCCGUGAUGAGCUUGGACUCUGGGGGAUUUGCUGGCCUGCGGUCAGCUCCCCUCAAAUGAAUCAGCCUCCCAGUGUUUGGUGGCAUCACGGGUGUGAUAAAUAUCUACGCUCGUGGUUGCCUGCCAGGUAACCUUUGGUGACAAAGGUUUGCUGGAGCUUACAGAUGUCUCUCCUCAGCGAGGACAGCUUUUUGGACGUUCGAUCUCAAAUCAGGUAGGACUACCCGCUGAACUUAAGCAUAUCAAUAAGCCGGAGGAA
rnacentral:rRNA from 1 species